GGUAAACGCUGGCGGCGUGCCUAAAACAUGCAAGUCGAACGGUGUCCUUCGGGGCACAGUGGCAGACGGCUGAGUAACGCGUGGGUGACGUACCGAUGUGUGGGGAAUAACUGCCCGAAAGGGUGGCUAAUACCGCAUACGCCCGCCGAUUCGGUUUCGGUGGGGAAAGCUUCGUGAGAGGCGCAGAUGGAGCGGCCCGCGUCCGAUUAGCUGGUUGGUGGGGUAACGGCCUACCAAGGCGACGAUCGGAGCUGGUCUCAGAGGAUGAUCAGCCAGACUGGGACUGAGACACGGCCCAGACUCCUACGGGAGGCAGCAGUUAGGAAUUUUGGGCAACGGGCGCAAGCC
rnacentral:rRNA from 1 species